GACGAACCACACGAACGUUAUUCGGAAUUACUGGGCUUAAAGGGUGCGUAGGCGGCCUGGCAAGUUGGGUGUGAAAUACCUCGGCUUAACCGAGGAAUGGCGCUCAAAACUGCCGGGCUUGAGGGAGAUAGAGGUGAGCGGAACUUAAGGUGGAGCGGUGAAAUGCGUUGAUAUCUUAAGGAACACCCGUGGCGAAAGCGGCUCACUGGAUCUCUUCUGACGCUCAGGCACGAAAGCCAGGGGAGCGAACGGG
rnacentral:rRNA from 1 species